CACGGGGGGCCUACGGGAGGCAGCAGUGGGGAAUUUUGCACAAUGGGCGAAAGCCUGAUGCAGCAAUGCCGCGUGUGUGAAGAAGGCCUUCGGGUUGUAAAGCACUUCGUCCGGAAAGAACUCCCGGCGUGUAAUAUAGCGCGGCUAAUGACCUACGGGC
rnacentral:rRNA from 1 species